rnacentral:rRNA from 1 species
GGUUAAGUUAGAAAGGGCGCACGGUGGAUGCCUUGGCACUAGGAGCCGAAGAAGGACGGGACUAACACCGAUAUGCUUUGGGGAGCUGUACGUAAGCGUUGAUCCAGAGAUUUCCGAAUGGGGGAACCCACUAUCUUUAGUCGGAUAGUAUCCUUACGUGAAUACAUAGCGUGAGGAAGGCAGACCCAGGGAACUGAAACAUCUAAGUACCUGGAGGAAGAGAAAGAAAAAUCGAUUUCCUGAGUAGCGGCGAGCGAAACGGAAAGAGCCCAAACCAAGAAGCUUGCUUCUUGGGGUUGUAGGACACUCUAUACGGAGUUACAAAAGAAAGUUAUAAAUGAAGCGGUCUGGAAAGGCCCGCCAAAGACGGUAACAGCCCGGUAGUUGAAAUGGCUUUCCCUCCAGAGUGGAUCCUGAGUACGGCGGAACACGUGAAAUUCCGUCGGAAUCCGGGAGGACCAUCUCCCAAGGCUAAAUACUCCCUAGUGACCGAUAGUGAACCAGUACCGUGAGGGAAAGGUGAAAAGCACCCCGGAAGGGGAGUGAAACAGUUCCUGAAACCGUGUGCCUACAAGUAGUUAGAGCCCGUUAAUGGGUGAUAGCGUGCCUUUUGUAGAAUGAACCGGCGAGUUACGAUUUGUUGCAAGGUUAAGCGGAAAAAGCGGAGCCGUAGCGAAAGCGAGUCUGAAUAGGGCGCAUAAGUAACAGGUCGUAGACCCGAAACCAGGUGAUCUACCCAUGUCCAGGAUGAAGGUAAGGUAAUACUUACUGGAGGUCCGAACCCACGCACGUUGAAAAGUGCGGGGAUGAGGUGUGGGUAGCGGAGAAAUUCCAAUCGAACUUGGAGAUAGCUGGUUCUCUCCGAAAUAGCUUUAGGGCUAGCCUCGAGGUAAAGAGUCAUGGAGGUAGAGCACUGUUUGGACUAGGGGCCCUUCUCGGGUUACCGAAUUCAGAUAAACUCCGAAUGCCAUGUACUUAUACUCGGGAGUCAGACUGCGAGUGAUAAGAUCCGUAGUCGAAAGGGAAACAGCCCAGACCACCAGUUAAGGUCCCCAAAUAUAUGUUAAGUGGAAAAGGAUGUGGGGUUGCUUAGACAACCAGGAUGUUGGCUUAGAAGCAGCCACCAUUGAAAGAGUGCGUAAUAGCUCACUGGUCGAGUGACCCCGCGCCGAAAAUGUACCGGGGCUAAACAUAUUAC